rnacentral:tRNA from 1 species
GGCUCUGUGGCGCAAUGGAUAGCGCAUUGGACUUCUAGGCUCAGUGGCAGAGCUAUUCAAAGGUUGUGGGUUCGAGUCCCACCAGAGUCA